GGGGGCGACUGGUUUCGACAUGGCAGGUUUGAAGUGAGGAGCAGGUCGUGGUCUCCUCGCCACGUUAAACAGGGGUACUGUCAAAUUAAUUGGCAAGAACACUUUCUCUGGGCGUUACGCCCUCGCUGCUUAAUUUACUAGCGGCCGUCUAACCUGGCUUUUCCUCGUCCAGGGGCGACGUCAUUCAGAGGAAUGCUCCCGCGCACGUAGUCGGUAUGGCGCGGGCUAAGAUCGAACCGGCUCGCAUGCCCAACGUGGGUCGGCGGACCGACGGCAUGCAAAACCCGAUUGCCGACUAAGCUUGUAGAGCCUCGCUGAUUCCCUGGUAUGGACCGGAGUUCGACUCUCCGCGCCUCCACCA
rnacentral:tmRNA from 1 species